rnacentral:rRNA from 1 species
CGGGCGUAGCAAUACGUCAGCGGCGGACGGGUGAGUAACACGUGGGAACAUGCCCUUCGGUACGGAACAACUCAGGGAAACUUGAGCUAAUACCGUAUGCGCCGGCAACGGGAAAGAUUUAUCGCCGAAGGAUUGGCCCGCGUCCGAUUAGCUAGUUGGUGAGGUAACGGCCCACCAAGGCACCGAUCGGUAGCUGGUUUGAGAGAACGACCAGCCACACUGGGACUGAGACACGGCCCAG